rnacentral:lncRNA from 1 species
UGGAUAAUGGGAAUUGAGGGAAAUCAAGGAAUCCAGAAUGACUUGUAAAUUUUUGUCCUAAGAAAUUGAGUGGAUAAUGAUGGCAUUUACUUAAAUAGCAAAUACUUGUGCAGGUAAAUUCUGGAUAUGUGGGGCAACCAAGGGUUUUGUUGAUGCCAUGUAAACUUUGGUAUGCCAAUUAGACAUGAAGAGAUACUGAGUGGAAAGCUGGAUACUCAGGGGACCACAGUCUUCUGUUUCCUGGAUUUCAGGUCCCUUUUAAACUGAAGCAUAGUGAGAACAAGCGUAAAGCACAACACAGACGGAAGAUUGCACCUUAGCUCACUGCCCCGUGCACCCCUGUUACACCGUCUAAGAAAACACUCUGGAUUCAAUCCUUGGAAAAGUAGAAGUCUGCCUUGAUGAGCUUUACUGAAGAGCCGCAACUUCACGGAUCGGACAACAGAAAAGACUUCGGCAGUUACCAAAUCUGAAGUACUCAUUGUGCAUGCUAGCAAUCUGGGACUAAUAAGGUUAAAUU